CCUUAAGCCGCAGCAGUAGCGAAACGCAGGCAUCAGUUACCAGUGGGAUCUCCCUAGGAGAAGCAAUAUGUCAGAAAACCGCCAUUAAUUCGAGAAUUGAGUCAUGGUAUCAGCUUCCAGCAGAAGUGGAUGCCAGCCAUUUAACUGCUGCCUCAGAGACGAAGCUUGGCCUGACGUGUGAUAGAAAUGACCUGACGGAGUUCCCUACGCUGGAGGAAGGAGUGUUGCCUUCAGCAGAAGUGUCUAGAAGGCAGUCUCCUGGAGAUACAGCACAUGGCUUACUGCUGGAUAUUCAGGACAGUCAAUUCUCUCCCUGUCUUCCGCUGCUGAUGUAUUCAACACGAGGCCAAAGAUUUUCAGAUGAGAUGCUUCUCCAGCAAUCAGAAAUGGAUUUUAUUCCCCUAAGAGGAGUCCCUGAUGUUUCUGGUGCGUCUGAGGAGCAUUCGAAGCCUUCGCACAUCCGUGAAGCUGUGUCACUGACACAGGCAGAAUCUCCCUCUGAUGCACCCAGUGACUGCUUUGCUUUGUCCCAGCAUCCUCUGCCUUUCAGACAUGUGGAACCUUGUGAUGCCAGUUGUAGCGGUUUUUUGUCUCAGCAAACCUCUUUUUCUGGACAACUACUUGCGAACAAGGAGGCAAAUGAAGACUGUAAAAACGAUACUAAUGAGAAGGCAUUGAUUCCCCAAACAAGUGACAGCUUAGCAAACUCCACUUCAAAGCUGAUGCUAACCGAGGCAAAUAGACUGAGCCAAAUGGAAGCUUCUCUUACAAAGCAGAGCUGUGGUACGUCUGUAAAAGACAAACUUUUCUCCCGCGACAGCAACGUACCAGUUACUGUUUUCAAGCUUUCAGAGAAAGAAAAAGGUUUACUGAGGCAUGAUGAGUUCUCAUCUUCAGAAAACUCCUCUUGUAAAACAGCACUAACUAAGAAUUCGGAGAAAAGGGAAACAGAAAUGCAAAAAGAAAAGGUAAAAAUGGCUGAGAGUGAGUCAGAAGGGUCCAUGAGGCAGCUGGAGAAGCUGGAAAAAGAAAAGGUUCCUGAGCUUGAUUUGUCUAAGAAUUUAUCUGAUGAUUUGAAGAAAGACAAUUGUAAAAAUUCAGAUGCGCAAGAUGUUUUUUCUGCAAAGACUUCUGAAACAGGUGAAGGAAUGUUGAAGGAACAUGGAGUGGAUUUAAAUGGCUCUGAAAGCUUGAAGUUUGUGGCUGUUGCUGAGGAAC